rnacentral:sRNA from 1 species
GAAUGUUAAAAUUUAAUUCUCUGUUAUGAGGUUUAUAGCAUUCCGUUAUGUGCAUGAACAGACAUGGCCCACGUGCAUACACAUAUUUGGAUGUUACAGCAGAAAGCUAAACUUUCACGUAAAUAUAAAUAACUAUAUCAUUGAGCUCCAGAUGAUAAUUGUAGUAGGUGAGGUCAAAUCUUUACCUGGUUUUAGUUGCAAUUUGAAGUGAGUAGUUUAGACGUUCAUAAUUUAAGACGCUGUGUAGAUACCAUUCAUGGAAUGGGACAGAUUAAAAAUGCAUGAUAGGUAUCUUCUUAUGAGAGACUUAGCACAAUGAUUUUAUAGACUUGACACCUUUUAUGGUCUGCCAGCCAAUAAAAACAUGGUGUAUCAGAGGAACACCUUAGUCCUGAAAGGAUGCUGACUUCCAGCCUCUGAAGGACAAACGCUAGUGUAAACCACCCCUUGACGGAGACCAACACUUUACCAAAAUCAGUGCUUACCCUGUCCGUGAACCCCUCAUUGCUGACAUUACAGUAAAUACAUUAUACUUUACUGAAGGUCCUACGGUGGGCUACCUCUAAGUUACCACUAUCCUUUCUGGAAACAAAGGAUAUGUAUCGAAUAAAGAAAUAUAGAGUGAGUGAAUUUCCAGUAACAUGUGGACCAAAGCUUGUUAGUUUUUUAACAGAAUUGAAGGCUAGAAAAUUAUGUGCUUUAGUAUUUAAAUGCCUUGUUGGACUUUUAGAAAGCACUAGACGUUCUGGAAAUGAAGAGGAAUGAAUUUCCUGCUCUUUAAGUGUAUUUUUAAAUGACAAAAUAAAAGCUUUACCCACCCCCACAUUGAUUCGGGUCCUAGUUCAUUUGCCUUGUGUUUUUGAUUAAAUAUCUUCACAUAGGAAACUUCCUAUUAUAGGAACUGUGCAGUUUCUAUAAUGAGGCUCUUAUAAACUCUGAUAUUUGAUAUGAGCUCAAGCAAUUUUUCAUUUUGUUCAAGAUUUCCAGUGAUCUGAAAUCGCCAUCAGCUGGCAAAAGAUCAAGCUUCCUUCUGAAUUCUGUUAACGUCACUAAAUUUAAGUUCUAAAGGCAGGAGGCAUUCCACCAUUCCCACUAAAGGGGAUGCCAAUGCCUUUGGAAAACAACAUUUUAAACAAAUAAAACCCGGGAGUCUUGGUCAGCAAAGUGAGUGAAUCCUUGUCUUUCACACAACUUUCAAACCAGUGAACAAUGCAUGCAUGAACUGGGAAACAGUUCUUUUUCAACUCACGCUGUCCAGGCACUGAGGAGACUCAAUGACUAGAAGCCUAACUUUAAUAUGCAAAGUAGAGGGUUGGUUAGGGGUGGAGCAGCAUCAGAAUAAAUGAUCCCCACAACUGGAAGUGGAAGUGUAGGUCAUUUCCUACCCAGGGAUAUUCCUAGGGCCCACUGGGUUAUAGUCAAAGGGUCUGAAAGGAACCAGCAAGUUAAUUAGUUCCACUCCAAGGGAGGGUUUCUUUUUCACAAACCAGUUCUUAUUCUGUAGCAUGGAUUAGAAGUCUAAAUGGAAGGCUACAUACGGUGGAAGAUAUAUACAUUCAGCCAUUACCACAGACAGGCAGUAAAUUAUCUGGGGGCAGGGGGGCCUGCAGAGCGCUCUGCAGCCCUCUCUUUCAACCUCCCCUCUCACCUGUGAAAGAGCCUGAGGCCGUAUGCCAUUGGCUGUUAAUAAUGCUCUCUGGAAGGAAGCAAGUUGAAAUUGUUCCCAAACUGCAAAUCAACAGACCACGUAUAUAUGUCUACUACUGUUGAAUGAAAUUAUAUAUCAGAAUAAAAGACUGUAUCUGUAGUACAGGACUCAAGUAUGCUUUUAUGUAGCCUAUAAAAUCCACGGGCCCCGGGCAGCACGAAGCUCUGAAAUGCUUCUGUUCCUACUCCCAGGAGGAUAGCCUAAUAUAGAUGCAGUGAACGGAAGCCUCCAAAGGAAGUCUGUGAUAUGAAAUUUAAAAUAAUUGUUUUUAAAUUUGUAGUUUCCAGAUUGGGUUUCUACCGUGCCUGCCAAACCUCCCCCCCCUUUUUUUUUCCUGUGGGCUUGUUACACAAUAUGGAUUUCAUUUGUGUAUUCAUAGGAGGAAGUGGUGAUUCAGCCACUUUGUGGGUAUGCUUCUAGGUUUCCCCUCCAGCCCUCCACCCGCAGAGCGUAGGGAGCUGGAACGGGUCCUGAGCCAGGACGAAGGGAACAGAGUACACAGAUGAGGGCUACAAACACUAUGAGCAUGCCAGAAUUCCGGUGCAGAGAAAAAUGCCUACGUAAACCAUCAUUUUUGGUUAAAACAACAAGAGCUUAGUACCUCUUAAACUUGGUAGAAGUGGUGUACUACAUAGAGCAUCCUGUAUUUCUAGCAUGUGCCUGGAGCACCCCACCCCCUCGAGCCUCAGCUCUCUUUCUUCAUCUGUCUAUCCAAGCCCAGAGGAGCCUCAGGACACUAUGUGAAGAUGCAAUACAGCCCAAGCUCCCGCUGCUGUGACUUUGCCUGCAAUGAUGGACUACACCCAUCGACCAAGCACUGAAAAAAGCCACCACACUGGUGAGUUACUUUUGUCAGACUCUUGUCUCACAGCCACAGGAAAAGAAACUAAUGUCCCACCAAUUCUAAUGCACAUUCAAAGUCUUAAGAGAGUUUUUAAAACUAAGCAGGAUGGUUGCAAAGACAUAGAAGAACAUUUUCUGGAAAACUUGAUAAAUGUAUCUUCCUAAUUUCCUUGAUGCAAGAGGUCAAGCUUACCCUUUCAUACGGGAACUUGCUUUCACCUGAGGCUAUUACAUCCCAUGUAAGUUUACAUUGACCAAAGGUGGUAGAAAAGGAUACACAAGUGUCAAGGCUCACAGAUAACUAGAAAGAACUUACUGUGCUUGACACACGCACAAAGACAGAGAGGCACAAUGCUGGUGCUUCCUACAGACAAGGCAGGGACACUGAAACCCAACUCACCCAAAACCAUCUUUGGGAAACAUGGAGGAAAAUAUCUCUUUAAAGAGACAUAUGCCUGGGUUUAAGUUCUACUUCUGCCUCUUGAUUGAUAUACACUCUAGGACAAUUAUCUGCUGGGCCCAUCCCCCAGUUUCUUCCUUUGUAAUAUGGGUGUGGUCAGCCUUGGUCACAGAGGCAACAGGGGAAUUGAUACACUAAAUACCAAACAUGAGUAGGUGCUAUCACAUGAACUUGCGUCUGGAGGACAAUUACUUUUGGAUGAAGAAUCCCAACUUGUUUCUUCAUUAUGAAGUAAAGAUGUCAGAGUUUAGCAUCUUAAAGUUCUGCAGAGGUUUCCUGCCCUCAUUCAUCCAGCACAGAACCAGCACGGCGAGCUUAGCUUGGCUCAGUCUGCUUUGCUCUGUCUGUCAACAAGAUUCUAAUGUUCGAACUGAGUUGAUGAUGGCUGAAGGUGGAUGGAACAAGACAGACUAUGCAACAGCAUCAGAUUUCACACCUCUGAGGGUUCGAGCUACCAACAAAAACAUCAUAUCUCUGUCAGUCAGGAGUAAUUACAGGGCUUGGUGGACUCAUACAAGUAAAACAUAGUCAUGAAGGGUCUCCUGGCUGUUCCUCUGGCUACAGUUAAUAGGUCUGCUUGAUUCUGUGAAGAUUUGAAAUGAACUUCCUUUUGGACAGAAGGAUAGACUGUAAGGCAAGAGGGGGAUGUUUGCU